GGGGAUGCUGGGAUUUGACAGGCUGGUUGAAUUCCGGUUCGGCAGGUCGAGGAUGCUGUCUGGCUCGUUAAAACGGCAGCAACCAAAAACUGCCAAACCUAAGUUGGCUCUCGCCGCCUAAACCGCGGUGACGUCGCUCCGGGUUUCUCUGGUGACCCGGAACCCGGCGUUCGCAAACCGGAGCGCAGCGUGACCCGGCCUGAAGGGUUGCGCCUAAGACCGAAUCAGGCAAUCUAACCCGGACGUUGUCCGUGACCCAUCCGGGCAGAUUGUUGGAAACGGACUAAACCUGUAGAAGAGCCGGAAAGAAGCAGUCUGGACGGGGUGUUCGACUCACCCCCAUCUCCACCA
rnacentral:tmRNA from 2 species